CAAUUAAUAAAUCGCUUUUUAGUGAGAAGCGUUAUUAAAACAAAGUACUCUACAUAGUGAAUUUCAAAUUAGGAAUAACGCAUCAGAAGACUUAUCAACCCUUCAAGCAACGCCAGAAGAGAACUUGUGUCAUGCACGUGCACGAGAGCGUCGCAUUUUUGUUGUGCGCGUUUCUUGACUUCUCGCACGCGCGUGAGAAGGAACGUCUUUUCUCAAGCUGCGUCGCUAUGGUUGGGUUAACAAACCAUUUAAUCGCAUAUUAUACAACACAAAGCCUUAUUAAGAAAUCGUAUCUAUUACUUUCACCUUGAAAACAAACGGAUUUAUAGGUGAAGUACGACUUUCAGUCGCCAUAGUAGCUCAGUGUUGGGAAAAACCAGGGCUGGGUGUGUGACCUUGGGGUGUUGUUCCGGUUAUUUGAGAACGAUUUAGAAAUCAAUCAAACUCUCCUGCUUGCGGUUUGGGUUUUGAAACUUUGAAGUUAAUCUCUUGUUCUCGUGUUUCGCUUUACAAGAAAUAAUACACAAGCAGGUCGACUUCAAGCGCAGGCACAACGAACCGUUUGGUCUCGUUUGAAUCCCUGUCAUGAAUACGAUACAGAAAAUUAAAAGGAAAAACUUCAAGGAGAUUUCAGAUUAGAAGUCUCGUAUUUAAGGUCAAAUUUCGACCAGGAUUCUCAUCUAAUUUCAUCAAGACCUCAUGAACAAAUCUCCGUGGGGAAACAUUUCAAUUUUUCGAAGUUUGCAAUGGGAUUACUCUCGAAGAACUCAGCAAGAGAGAUUGAUUUCGGAGAACAACCCACUGCACUGUUAGACGAGGAUCACAUUGUUAUUGUUCUGACAAUAAUAACAAGUUUGUUCGCGAUUUCCUGUAUUGCGCUCUUUUUUUACUACCACUGGAGAGUGAGUCGUUACCUCGUGGAAACACGUAUUGGGAGUCAAGGAAAUGACUUAAUUUAUUUAUAUUAUUCAAAGCGUUCAUAGAGGAAUCAUUUACAGAGACCUGCAGGGAGAAUAUUUUUUGAGCACUUCAACGACUUCAGUGGCCAGUCAAACUUUGUCCCGUUAACUAGAUCUAUCAGGUGAUCAAUAGACAGUAAUUUUGUGGCUUUUCUUUUCUUAUGGAACGCACGUGAAUUAUACUUUUAUGUUCCGUGCAUAAACGACCAUUACUCUAAAAUAUUUUGUUGCGCAAUGGAGCCAUAGUAUCUUUUUCCCUGCGGGGUAAACCCGGAGGUCUCCCAAGGGGAUUCUACUACCAUUAAGACAUGGACAAACGAAGUCCCCGUGAUUGGUACCCCUGGGGGCCUACCAUUGGACUCUUGUGAUACGAUUUCUUGGCCGGCUGUAAGGGGUAAAAUAAGGAGCUGAUAAAAAUAACAUCUCAGCGUCUUUCUGAAAAGGUAUUCACAUGAUUUCGUGCACAAUUGGAAAUCAAAUAAACAAAUGAUUUUCCCUAAGGCUAAAGAAAUUGCACGGGGCGGGAAAAAUAUGAAUUUUUUCUAAAAAUAAAAAAUCACGAGGGGUUGUUUACUCCAAAUUUCACGAGAAAAAUCGUGUGUUUACCCGAGAUAUUACCGUCCUAGCUAACUUUUGGCCUUUUAUGCAUGUGCAAGAUAUAGGCUAAAACUUCUUUGACACGGGAGGUGAUAAAGGGAGCUUUGCAUUGGCCAGUGUAUCUGUUUCCCUUCUUUCUUCGGCUGAGUGAUCCACAUGAUCCGGCGAUCCAGUGUUAUUGCGAUUAUUGCACGAUCUUUGCAUGAUCUUGGCCUGAUUAAAGGAGCAAGGCUCAAUGAGCGAAGCCAAGAGGGGUCUUUCGAAACCAAACAGGUCGCCUCAUCUGUCAGGUGGAUUUAGGUACGAGGGAAGGGAUUCUUCACUGUCACGUUACUUUACGUGCGUUAAGCCCUCAGUCUGAUAAUCUCACGUGCGUUGUUAUGCCCGGCAGGCUUGCAUUAUGCUGACUUCGUGCACUUGAAAUAGAAUACAGACAGUUAAGAGUCAGUUUUUGUGUGUGAAAAAUCUAGAUUGGAGUUUAACGUUAAGUGUUGACUUGAAACUCUGAAUACGAUAUGGAAUUUAUUUGAUUGUUU